rnacentral:rRNA from 1 species
GAUGAACGCUGGCGGCGUGCCUAAUACAUGCAAGUCGAGCGAACGGACGAGAAGCUUGCUUCUCUGAUGUUAGCGGCGGACGGGUGAGUAACACGUGGAUAACCUACCUAUAAGACUGGGAUAACUUCGGGAAACCGGAGCUAAUACCGGAUAAUAUUUUGAACCGCAUGGUUCAAAAGUGAAAGACGGUCUUGCUGUCACUUAUAGAUGGAUCCGCGCUGCAUUAGCUAGUUGGUAAGGUAACGGCUUACCAAGGCAACGAUGCAUAGCCGACCUGAGAGGGUGAUCGGCCACACUGGAACUGAGACACGGUCCAGACUCCUACGGGAGGCAGCAGUAGGGAAUCUUCCGCAAUGGGCGAAAGCCUGACGGAGCAACGCCGCGUGAGUGAUGAAGGUCUUCGGAUCGUAAAACUCUGUUAUUAGGGAAGAACAUAUGUGUAAGUAACUGUGCACAUCUUGACGGUACCUAAUCAGAAAGCCACGGCUAACUACGUGCCAGCAGCCGCGGUAAUACGUAGGUGGCAAGCGUUAUCCGGAAUUAUUGGGCGUAAAGCGCGCGUAGGCGGUUUUUUAAGUCUGAUGUGAAAGCCCACGGCUCAACCGUGGAGGGUCAUUGGAAACUGGAAAACUUGAGUGCAGAAGAGGAAAGUGGAAUUCCAUGUGUAGCGGUGAAAUGCGCAGAGAUAUGGAGGAACACCAGUGGCGAAGGCGACUUUCUGGUCUGUAACUGACGCUGAUGUGCGAAAGCGUGGGGAUCAAACAGGAUUAGAUACCCUGGUAGUCCACGCCGUAAACGAUGAGUGCUAAGUGUUAGGGGGUUUCCGCCCCUUAGUGCUGCAGCUAACGCAUUAAGCACUCCGCCUGGGGAGUACGACCGCAAGGUUGAAACUCAAAGGAAUUGACGGGGACCCGCACAAGCGGUGGAGCAUGUGGUUUAAUUCGAAGCAACGCGAAGAACCUUACCAAAUCUUGACAUCCUUUGACAACUCUAGAGAUAGAGCCUUCCCCUUCGGGGGACAAAGUGACAGGUGGUGCAUGGUUGUCGUCAGCUCGUGUCGUGAGAUGUUGGGUUAAGUCCCGCAACGAGCGCAACCCUUAAGCUUAGUUGCCAUCAUUAAGUUGGGCACUCUAAGUUGACUGCCGGUGACAAACCGGAGGAAGGCGGGGAUGACGUCAAAUCAUCAUGCCCCUUAUGAUUUGGGCUACACACGUGCUACAAUGGACAAUACAAAGGGCAGCGAAACCGCGAGGUCAAGCAAAUCCCAUAAAGUUGUUCUCAGUUCGGAUUGUAGUCUGCAACUCGACUACAUGAAGCUGGAAUCGCUAGUAAUCGUAGAUCAGCAUGCUACGGUGAAUACGUUCCCGGGUCU